UCACGCAUCGCGUCUCCCCCAAUACCACCAUUGGUGGAGGGGAAGGAGGAUGGUUUCCCGUGACUCACCGGUCGCGGCUAGCCUAAAAUUGGAGCCCUCGGCAUCGAGAUGUCGCGGCGAUAGGUGGUGAACAAGGCCUCGGCCAAGCAAGCAACCCGUCGCGCAUCGCUGUGCCAAUGUGAGCUCGGAGGACCCUUUGGUGUUGUCUUAGGGCAACCAAACCGUUGCGAA
rnacentral:rRNA from 1 species